rnacentral:rRNA from 1 species
UACGUAGGGUGCAAGCGUUAAUCGGAAUUACUGGGCGUAAAGCGUGCGCAGGCGGUGAUGUAAGACAGGUGUGAAAUCCCCGGGCUUAACCUGGGAACUGCAUUUGUGACUGCACGGCUGGAGUGCGGCAGAGGGGGAUGGAAUUCCGCGUGUAGCAGUGAAAUGCGUAGAUAUGCGGAGGAACACCGAUGGCGAAGGCAAUCCCCUGGGGCCUGCACUGACGCUCAUGCACGAAAGCCGUGGGGGAGCAAAACAGG